UCUGAACAGCCACUGCCAUUUUGGACAUUCUUAGUCUCCUCUGGUUUUGAAAGUUAAGCAGGAGUGGCCAAGGUUAGUAGUUGGACAGGAUACCACCAAAGAGUAUCAGGGAUCUCCAGGU
rnacentral:rRNA from 11 species